UACGGGGGGUGCAAGCGUUAUUCGGAUUUAUUGGGCGUAAAGGGCGCGUAGGCGGCUUGGUAAGUCAGAUGUGAAAGCCCGGGGCUCAACCCCGGAAGUGCAUUUGAAACUAUCAGGCUUGAGUAUGGGAGAGGGAAGUGGAAUUCCUGGUGUAGAGGUGAAAUUCGUAGAUAUCAGGAGGAACACCGGUGGCGAAGGCGACUUCCUGGACCAAUACUGACGCUGAGGCGCGAAGGCGUGGGGAGCAAACAGGAUUAGAAACCCGAGUAGUCC
rnacentral:rRNA from 1 species